ACAUCAGACAUGAAGCAUAGCCUCUCCUACAGGCUACAUAAAAAGGUCAUCCCUUUAUUGGUGGAAAAUCAAUUGAUAGAAAUUGUGCCUUCCCAGAGCUGCAAUUUACCAGAAGCAAAACCCAAGUACUUGACUGAUAAUAUAGGGCCUCAGAAUAUAGGGCCUCAGAAUGAUCAAGCUAUUGAAAAUGUCUCUAAUCAAGGCUUAAUAAAGAUUUAGAAGACCUUUUGAGGGAAAAUUUAGAGAGAUUAUUUAAAAGUUUAUAAGAGAGAGAAAUACCUGGGUAUUUUCUUGAGAUGACAAGAGAAGAUACAGACCCUUCAGAAAUACAUGUAACCAAGAGGCCAACUGAGAAUGAGACAUUUACCCUGGUGGGGCUAGGUGAUAUUGUCUAUGACCACAUACAAUGUUUCUACCAUCAGUGACUGAGCUCUAAGAAUAGAGAAUAUCUUAGCAGGCAAAUCAAUUUUCAGGUUCCUUGAAAAUAAAAUUCAUCAAAGAAAACACACACUGAUAUUUCAGAAUCUUCUAAAACACUGGUAAAUAGAGCUCAACUGAAUCACUUCUCAGGGAUUCUCUAUGUGUGUGUGUGUGUGGCACAUUGGAAGCCUACUAUAUUUAAUAUGGUUGUUUUAUUCACCUGUCAUAUAAAAAAGUAAAAUUAUUGAAGCACCACAGAAAACAUGUAAAAUAUAGUGAUUUCACACCUCUCUCUCUCUCUCUCUCUCUCUCUCUCUCACACACACACACACACACACACACAACACACACACACACACACAGCAUUGAGUUCCAG
rnacentral:lncRNA from 1 species